rnacentral:rRNA from 1 species
AUUGAACGCUGGCGGCAGGCUUAACACAUGCAAGUCGAGCGGGGGAAGGUAGCUUGCUACCUAACCUAGCGGCGGACGGGUGAGUAAUGCUUAGGAAUCUGCCUAUUAGUGGGGGACAACAUUUCGAAAGGGAUGCUAAUACCGCAUACGCCCUAAGGGGGAAAGCAGGGGACCUUCGGACCUUGCGCUAAUAGAUGAGCCUAAGUCGGAUUAGCUAGUUGGUGGGGUAAAGGCCUACCAAGGCGACGAUCUGUAGCGGGUCUGAGAGGAUGAUCCGCCACACUGGGACUGAGACACGGCCCAGACUCCUACGGGAGGCAGCAGUGGGGAAUAUUGGACAAUGGGGGGAACCCUGAUCCAGCCAUGCCGCGUGUGUGAAGAAGGCCUUUUGGUUGUAAAGCACUUUAAGCGAGGAGGAGGCUACCGAGAUUAAUACUCUUGGAUAGUGGACGUUACUCGCAGAAUAAGCACCGGCUAACUCUGUGCCAGCAGCCGCAGUAA